CCCUUAGAUGUUCUGGGCCGCACGCGUGCUACACUGAGUGGAUCAGCGGGUCAGGUUGCGCGAAAGCGUUUCCUAAUCUUUAAAUCCGCUCGUGAUGGGGAUUGACGGUUGCAAUUUUCUGUCAUGAACGAGGAAUACCUUGUAAGCGCGGGUCAUCAUCCCGCGCUGAAUACGUCCCUGCCCUUUGUACACACCGCCCGUCGCUCCUACCGAUUGAGUGGUCCGGUGAGGCUUUGGGAUCUGAGCGGAAAGAGCGUUUCGCUGUUUCUGCUCGGAAAACUCAGUCGAACCUUAUCAUUUAAAGGAAGGAGAAGUCGUAACA
rnacentral:rRNA from 1 species